rnacentral:lncRNA from 1 species
ACUCUUCAAAUUUUUCUUCUAUCCUAUCUAGCUGUUUUCCUACAGUUGCUAGAUAUUGAUUACUGAAGUUUAAUUAUUCUAUAAUUUUCUUAUCAUUAUUACUAGCAUCAGAAAUUUUGAAUGGACUGGCUACAACUGAAGUAUUUUUAACUGAAAUUAGAACAGUUUCUAAAGGAGGAUGACUAGAAGAAACUCUUAAUUUAUCUUCUUUAAUCCAUUGAGUUUUGGUUAUUACAUUACAUUUACUUUGAAAUUAUUCAUACCAAUCAUAAAAUGUAAUAUUCAAACUCUCACUUUUAAUGAAUCUUUUCCAUCUAUUGACUAUCUUAUCACGUUCUCUUUCAGUGGGGUGAUUAGAUCUGAAUAAAUGUCUUUUUUCCUUAUUAGAUUUGGAAUUAAAAUCUUUUACCAGAUAGUCCCAAUCUAAUACAAACUCUUUUUUAAUGACUCUUAAUU